GCGCGCCCGGUGGCCGUUGGCGCUCGCGCCGCGUCUUUCUUCUCGUACGCAGAACUCGGGCGGCGGCCUAUGCGUUUGCGAUUCGACGAGGAGUCGUCCGGGUGGUCGGCGGCGGCGGGCAGCUGCUCCGCCCCGCUCCGGGGGAGGCGGCGGCGGCAGCGGCCGCGGGAUUUGGAGCGGCCGGGGAGGCGGGGGUGGCCGGGGCCGGCUUGGAGGCCUGGCGCCACCCUUCGGGGCCUGCAAGGACCCAGUUGGGGGGGCAGGAGGGGGCCGGAGGAUGGUUGGUUGUGGGAUUUCUACUUUGCCUUUUCCUCCUUAUGCCGCCUUAGUGAGGGGCGGGAGCUCUGGCGGCAGCCCCGGGGUGGGGAGACGAGCUCCGGAGUCGGAAGAGCUGGGUUUUCUUCCGGGCCUAGCCACCAGUUGGCGGAGUGACCUUAGGCGAGUCACUCUGUAAUUUGUCUGCGCCUCAGUUUCCUCCUCUGCCUAUCAAUGUGUGUGGGGUUGAAAUCGCUUUGUAAACUAUAAAGCGUGGGUGUACGUAAAGGAUGGUUAUUGUUUAUAAUUUUUUUUGAGUUGUAAGAAAACUUAGCAGUUCCCCAAUCCUUGGGUUUUGAACCUGGGAACCUUGGAUUGGAGUUGGGGAUCCCCAAACUUCCUGAAAUUGUGGGAAUGUGCGGUUUGGGGGAAUGAUGGGAAUUUGUGGGAAUGUGCGUUUUAGGGGAAUGAUGAUCCAUCGCUAGCAAGUUUUCCAAGGGGGCUGUGACCCAGAAGAGUUAAGAAUCACAAUUUCUUCAUGCUACAGAGAGGAAACUGAGGCCUAGAUGUCAUUUGGGACCCUUCACAACCAUUUUGAAGCCCUGUUUGAGUCCCUGGGAUAUGUGAGCUGUUUCUAUGCAUAAUGGAUAUUCGGGGUUAACAACAGUCCCCUGCUUGGCUUCUAUUCUGAAUCCUUUUCUUUCACCAUGGGGUGCCUGAAGGGUGGCUGAUGCAUAUGGUACAAUGGCACCCAGUGUAAAGCAGCUACAAUUAGGAGUGGAUGUGUUCUGUAGCAUCCUAUUUAAAUAAGCCUAUUUUAUCCUUUGGCCCGUCAACUCUGUUAUCUGCUGCUUGUACUGGUGCCUGUACUUUUCUGACUCUCAUUGACCAUAUUCCACGACCAUGGUUGUCAUCCAUUACUUGAUCCUACUUUACAUGUCUAGGCUGUGUGGUUGGUGGUGAAUAGGCUUCUUUUUACAUGGUGCUGCCAGCCCAGCUAAUUAAUGGUGCACGUGGACUUUUAGCAAGCGGGCUCACUGGAAGAGACUGAACCUGGCAUGGAAUUCCUGAAGAUGUUUGGGGUUUUUUUCUUUCUUAAUCGAAAGUUAACAUUGUCUGAAAAGUUUUGUUAGAACUACUGCGGAACCUCAAAAUCAGUAGAUUUGGAAGUGAUUCAAAGCUAAACUUUUUCCUUGGCCCUCCUUGUGUUCUAAUUGCUUGCAAGUGUAAUACUAGGAUGUCCAAGAUGCCAGUUUUUGCUUCUUUGUUAGUUGUCAGCUGCUUUUAUCAAAUUUCAGGCCAUUAUCCAACAAACACUAUAAAAAUGUUUGAACAAUUGGAUUUCAAACAUUUUCGUUUUGUGGAGUGGUGCUCACCAAGUGGUACAGCCCUAAGCAAGUGAACACAAACACAUUUAAGUGUAUUUUGUCUGAUUAGAUGUUAGCCAGUUAUGCUAUUUCAUUCAAAUGUCUGAAAAAAUCAAUUGACUAUUCCCUUUUCCUAAAGGGCAGAGACAGAUAAUCUCACUUCCAGAGAAAUGACUUGGAGAAAAAAAAGUGUUGGUCUUUUUGCUCUUUUGUAAUUAAAUCCGGAUGUACCUCAAAAGACUUAAGACUGUGGUGAUAAGAUGCUUUCCUCAGCAGAAAGGAGGGAAAAAAAACAACUGGAACUCAAAGCUUGAAAUUCUGUGGCAAAACAUGAGAUGUCCAGGAUUGGAGGUUGAAAAGAUUUCACUACAGUGUUCUGCAAUAGUUGGAGCAGAUAACUUUCAGUGUAGCCACAGCCAUGGACUCCAGAUUUCCAGAUUUUCAAGACCUGGACCUGGAACCCGAAAGAGCUUGUCACGAUGCGGCAGGAACACUGGAGGUAGAUUUUUUUUUAUUUUUGAAUUUUGGGACUGUUGACCUUGCUGUGAGAAAAGAGACAACGACUGAGCAAGCACUACCACCAGCACUGUUACUGGGAAUUAGAAGACCUGAGUUUCUGUCCAGACCCUCAGUGCAAACUGAGGAUGCUCCAUCCAAAGUGAAUUAUGAUAGCAGACUCCUUGAAAGCAGGGUCCUUGUUUAGUGCAUCUUUGCCCACAUACACCACAACAUAUCAAGAUGCAUUUAUUAGGAAGGAGGAGUUUAGAGAGCAGGCUAUCAGAAUAACCACUCAGUAAGUGUUUUCUUAAUUGCUAUGUGAUAACUUACAUUACUCUUAAUGAGGAGAAAAGUCGCUAGAUAUGGAUCAUGUUUAUGUUUUAAUGUUUUUUAAUUCUAAAUUUUGAUCUAGGGAGCCCUCAGACAUAAGGAGAAACCAAUAUGUUGAAUGAUGGGGUAUUACAUACAGAAGGACCAAGACCUUAUUUUCUCCUACUUAAGAUGGAAUCUUGUUAAGAUGAAAGGACAGCUUUUUAAAAGGAGAAGGUCAUAAGACAGUUUGAGGAAGGCAUUGGAAGAGGAAGAGGGGCAAUGUCUCCUUUGUUUUAUUGUUGCCUACAGACCUGGUACCUGGAUUUUUGCCCGAGAUGAUUCCUACCACCUUACUACUGACGAAGACACCCAUUCCAGUGGACCACUGUGACCCAGGAGGCAUUCAGCCAUCAUGAUGUGGCCUUUACCUCCACUCCUGUCUUGUUCUACCCAGAUUCAGCACAGCCCUUUAUAGUGAAGUCAGAGUCCUCAAGCCAAAUAGCUAAAGCUGUUUUAUCACAACAAAGGCCUAGUUUGUUCCAUGAGUGUGCAUUUCAUUUCUUCAGUUAAAGCCUUCAGAGACACACAAUAAAUUUGGACCAGGGGAUUUUUUAGUUAUUAAUGCUCUCUGAAGAAAGGCAACAUCUUUUUGAGAGCAGCAUUGGACCACACCCCACAAUCUCAAAUGAUUGAAAUUCAUGAACAUCUAGGAUCCCGUGAAGGUCACUGGACCCUGUUUUUUCUACUUCAAAUCCUGUAGUAGCCUACUGAAUGAGAAAACAUAUUCUGACCCAUUGGGAUCAAAUCAAAGGCACAGUGAACUCCUCAUAGCAUCUUCUUUGGAAUUACUCAGGAACCAGAACUUUUUACACAAAUCAUUUUGUGACCGACUUAUUCUUAGAUCAUUGGUUUUCCAAAGGCUUUGUGGCCAUGAAGCCCUUUGAGUGAAAACUGUGCAGAAGCCCAGAGUAAAAGUGAAGCUGCUCUGGAUGAAGUAGUGAAGCAAGAGUAGGGGCCUGAAUCCUGCUACAACUAUCUUCCUUUACCACCGUGGUGACACCUAAGGGGACUUCCUUACAACACCUUGAACUCUUCCGAACACAGUUUGAAAACCACUGCCCCAGACAGCAAUAUGUUUGACCUGAAUGGCAUUCCAAUCUUUUCUGUACCUCCACUCAGCACAGUUCAUGUUCAGUAGAUGCUGAACAUUCUUAGAAAUACUGUGUGUGAACUUAGAAAAGUGCAAGAAGACAGGCAUGUCUUUGACCCCAGGAAUGAUCAUUUGCUGAAGAUGGUGUCAAGUGAACCUAGAUUAACAGCCCUCCACUCCAGAUGGAUAUCCAGUGAUUCCUAGAAUGGGAUAUAGCCAGAGAACAAUUCUAUGCACCCUACACUGACAGACUCCCUUAAGCAACACCAGAUGCUCUACUGGUACUUGAAGUACAUGACUUUGAAGUCUUGACCCUCCAUGAAUACCUGAAUUAUCAGCAAGCGGGUUUUGAAGCUGGUGCCUCAUUGAGGCCAUAUUAGAGCAACUUGUACAUUUGACCUCUUGUUAUCAGCCAUGGUACUCUACUUCGUGUGCAAGAGAUAACUAUGAAAGCCAAAUUCAAAUACUGGCAACAUUUCCUAAAGGGGCUCAAUAUCUAUCAUUCGUCUUCUUUUCCAAACUACACAUCACUGUAUGACUCAACCAGUAGCAGUUAUAUUGCCCCUUGGUUUUUAUUCAGUUUAACUACUGUUUCCAAGAUAAAUGAGCUAAUAAGCUUUAAAAAAAAAAAAAAAAAAGGCUGAAUUCUUUUUUCUUCAUCACUGGCAUAUCUGCCUAUUCUCCAGAAUUAUUAUGACUAUUCAGCUCACUUUAACAGUUGAACUUCAAGCGACAAUCUUUGAACACCCCUUCUCAUGUGAUUUAAAAUGAAACCAUUUGGAAAAGUUUCUUCUAGCCAGUAAUAGAUUUUUUUUUUAAUUGCUCUGCCUUGUGCCGAGAGAUGUUCUUUUAAGAUGAAUCUUUUGAUGUCUGAUACCACCAAAUAUAGGUGGUAGGGAGAGUUGGAGGCUGGCCCUUUGAGCAGGCCAUUAGCUUACUUGCUGGGCAUUUCCGAUAGCUUAUUGCCUACCUUUUUGCUGGAAACAAACUGAUUUGAAAAACAAAAUCUAUGAAGACUGCAGCUAAGGAUUUUAUCGGUAGACUUAAGAGCUUUUGUCCUUGUGGAUAUUUUAGUGGAACCACAUCAGUCUCAAUACUGUCAUUUUACACUGACUCAGAGCAGCUGACUUCAUUCCUUGCCAUGAUAUAUAUUUAAGGCAGGCAUUGUAACAGACAUAAAGACAACUUAUCUGUUUCAGCAGGAAGGAUUCAGUUUAUGAACUCUCAGACCAGAUCAUGUUGAACAAGGAGACUUUGAUGUGUGUCAUGAGAAAACUCAUUCUUUACUUCCCAGUCAAUUUAAAGGCCAGCUAUCCUGAGCUACUCGAAUGAAUGCACUGGUUAAACAUUGGAAAUAGUUUGUUUAUAUCCUUGUCUCUCUCUAGGCCAAUUGUGAUUACAUGACUCGACUCUACAUCUCGUCAAACAAGGCCUAGGUCUGGUUGCUGUAGACUGCUCGCCCUCAACAAAUAAAAUCUGGUUGACUAGCCUCCUUGUAUAUACAACUAUUAUUUGUUAAGAAGAAAUUAUCGUCAAUUUUCUACUACCUUCCAAUUGUCAGCUCUUUUUUUCCUCUCUGGUUUUUCCUAUACUUUACAGAAAAAGACAUUGAUCUAUACUGCCAUUCCCUCUAAUCCUGCCAUACUCAGUCAAAAGGAAUGACUUAAGAUGAAGAUGAUCAUCUGCUCGAGUCUAAAAUAUACAUUGUAUAUAAGAAUUGGUGAUUAGAAAAGCAAAAAACCUAAAACUUAAAUCUAGGAGUCUGUAUACUGUCUCCAUGUCUCCAUGCCUCAGAUCUCAUCUAAAUCUUUGAACAGCACCAUUCAACCAAUCUGAGGCCUUGACUUGCUUGUAAGAUGAUUCUCAGAGAUCGGCUGAGUUAAAAAAGAUGACGACUUGAUUACCAAAGAAAGUAGGGCCAACUUUGACAAAUCUGGCUCUGCUGACCCUGUCACUCCCAGAUGUAGCAUAGACUCCUAAACAGAACCUCAAGUCUGAUUGAGGAUAAGGCCUUCUCCUGAGCUGAAAGUUCUUUGGCAGAUGAGCAAGAAACUGAAAGCUGAUGUACCUGACUGGCUCUGUAAGAUCAGAAAACUGUAUCCAGAAUAAGCCCUAUGGAUUAACCCCUGAGUACCCAGAGUAAAAACUAAUUUACAGAACUUCCUUAUUGAUCUGCUGGUUCUUCCAGAUCAUAUUCUGGCUAUUGGUAUGGCUGGCCUUUCUGAAGGUACCCUGCUUGUCUAUUUUCCUGACUCAGCUCUUGCCUGCCUUUUUCACAUGUUGCUGCAAUUAGACUCACCGUGAGGACUACAGUCAAUUUCAGUCUAUCUUGUGCCCAAUACAACAAGGAUUUUUAAUAGUAACAACCCACACCUCACCCACUAGGACUCAAUGUUCACAACAGGAAGGACCAUUGCUGCAUACUCCUUGACCAGCAACUUUUUUGAAGAUAUUUUUAAGUGCAGAGUAGGCCUCUAUUCCUGUAUGUAAUUGUUCAUUUUCAGCACCUGGAACCUCAUCUAUCGGGUCUGGAAGGAAUACAGCAGUUCGAAAGCCGCGUCCAUUUCUCUCCUUCAGUAGUGCAGAAAUGAGUCCGAUUCACCAGUACACACAGAACUGUACCAGUUCAACCUAGCAAAAGAAGAAAAGUUUCCACUGUACUUAAAAUUUACAGCUGACUCAAAUUGCCUCACAGAAUUAUUUGAUGUAGAAGGCUAGUUGUCUUACUUCAGAUCAGCAGGACAGUUGGGCUCUCAGACUCAUGACCACUGAGUUUGCUUGUGUUGAAACUGUGGUUUCAUCCAACAUAUGCUAUUGGACAUGAUUAUUAUUCCAUUCAAAUGGAUUACAGACUUCUUGAGGACAGGACAAACUUAUCUCUCAUGGUGUUUUUUUAGAAUACUUUUAUAACCAAGGAAGAAACCAUGCCAGCUGUUACCAUUCAACUUCUUAAGCAGAGAUUAAGCUUUUUCAUAUCUGUUCUUAUCCUGGACAUCAGUAGUUUUUAAUUGCCCAGCAUCCGUUCCAUCUUGUAACAACUCCCUGAUGUUUCUUAAAACCACCUCUUCCUAUUUUCAGUCUGUGGUUUGGACAGUCUGACCCAACCUUGAGCUUUGUGGGUGAACAUGUAAUUCAGACCUCAUCAAUCAGCAAAUCCAUCUGAACUGUGGAGGAGAAGCUCUCUUUACUGAGGGUGCUUUAGCUUUGUAGGAUGAAAACCUCAAACUAACAGGGCCUACCAUGUAGAGAAUGAAGCCAGUGCAGGGGAAAGCAGAGCCAAAAUAUGGAGAGACUUGAAUCCUGAUGACAGCGUUUGUGCCCCUGGAUCCAACCGUGCCUGAAGCUAGAAUAUCCCCUGGACUUUUCAGUUAUGUGAACCAAUAAAUACCCUUUUUUGCUUAAGUUACUUUGAGUUGGGUUUCUGUUACUUGAAAUUGAAUCCACACUAAUAUAUCUACCAACAUUGAGACUUGACAGAUCCAAGUAUUUAUUAAGCUAGAGGUCAUGGUCACUGAAAUUACUUUCCAAAGUGGAAGACAAAAUGAAACAGGAACUGAGGGAAUAUUUAAGAUCCCACAGAAGCGUAAAAAUGACAUGGUAGAAAGUAAUAGAAAACCUAAAUGUCUGUCAUUAAAGGAUAGGUUAAGGUGUGGUUCAGCCAUAUAGGAAUAUCUCGUAUCUGUUAAAAUGAAUAAAGUACAUUCAUUGUGUAUGGAAAAAUGGCCAUGAUACAUUAGGUGAAACAAGUUAUUAAUAGAAAAGUGUACAGUGUGAACUCAUUUUAAAAUGUGUGUGCUUAUGUUUAUAAAUGCAUAGAAAGGUCUAUUCACAGCUUUCUUUGAACAGUGUAGAUCACAUGAAACUUUCAACUUUAUACAUUUCUGUAUUAAUAUUUUACACUACCCACAUUAUUUUUAAACUUUAUUUUAAAUAAAGAAUUUUUAAAAUUAAAUUUAGUGCUUACUGUUUGACCUUGGCAAGUUAUUCAACACUGAGCCUGUUUUAUC
rnacentral:lncRNA from 1 species